CCUUUUAUUAAAAAUGACCGAGAAGAUUUUCCUUCAUACGCUUCUUUUUCUUAGCUGCGAUCAUGCGGGGUGUUGGGUGCUGUGUUUGGUGAGGGAGCAGACUGCCUCCUCCUCCAGGGAGGGCAGCCCCGCGCUGAGUCACUCCCGUCCGGCCCGCAUCCGGCCCCGCCCCCGCUGGCGUGUUGGAGCCCCGCGUCCUGGCGUCCACCUGCUGCCCCUCCCCUCGCGGCUCCCUUCAUUAAUCCUAGGGGCCUCCUUGGAAGGAAGGCUGGCCACACGCAGGCAACGUUUAAGGGGCCGAUGACUCAUCCAGAACCAGCCUCCAUUUUUCGUGUGGAGGAGAGCCUUGAUGGGCGCUGGAGGCUAAUUGCACAGCGCUGGGAGCGAUGCGGCUGCUGUAAUUCCUGUCACCUCUAACGACGCAGUGGGAGCUUCCGGGGGAUCAUGCCAGGCGUUCGGGGGCCAUCUGCAUUCUUGCCUAAUAAGUUGUCUCCAGUUGCGGAGAAAGUUGCUAUUAAAGACCUGAUGGGAAGCAGCAACUCAGAACAGCCCAGCUCAUCUCAGGACGAGACUGUCUUUCCUAACAGUUUCCGGGAACGACAUCGCCACCGGGUCUGGAUAUUCCAGCUUUUGGGGGUGUGGGGGGGAGUCUCCCUGUGGCCCUCUCCUGGGAACCUGGGGGCUGGCCUGCGUUCACCCCUUUACUUAGGAAGUGUAACCCUCAGAGAUCGGAAGAAACCUGGGAAUAAGACAAUUCAAUAAAGUCACAAUAAAACAUCCAAAGCCUUU
ensembl:lncRNA